CUAAUUUCUGUUUAUAUACGUAUUUUUAACUGUUUGCCCUAUGACAAAUAUUAGACUGCAGAAAUAGCAGACAUUCAAUAACUAAUAUAACAUCACCUAUAUUGUAUAUUAUGUAUUCAUAAAUAUUUUACACUUUAUUCAGACACUGUAACAGGAAAAAAUGAUCAGACCCAUCACGGACACCAUGGACUAAAUAUCUUAAGAGACAGUAGAAGUGAAACGCUUUAGAUCAGCCUGUGCACCCACAGCACAUGGUAAACCAAUCUAUGUAUUCAUUAACACAUGGCAUGGUGUUAAGAUACAAGCCUACACAGAAGCAGUUAAAGCUCUUAGAUACCGGUCUAUUGAAUACAGACUGAGUUUUUACCAGUUGUGAAUCAAGCUUACCUGAUUCCCAUUUUUGUAUUACUGUCACUGAGAACUAAACAUACAGGGCUGCUGGCUGCAGAACCUCCAUCUCCUUCACAAAAGCAGCUUUGUCUAUGCAAGGAUAAUUGCAUUCUAAUCUAGAAUUCUGCCAUUUCUCAGAAGUGCAUCACGUCCUUACACCACGUGCUAACAGAAGGUCAUCAGAGAGGGGAGAUCAGACCCUGCCUCUCCACACCCUCUCCAGAGGAAGCUGUAGGCUAUGACGUCUCCCUUCAACCUCCUCUUCUCUGACCUGAACAAACUAAGGGACUUCAGGCACUCCUCUUAGAGACUUGGAAGGUGGCAUAUGAAGAAUAUUUGAAGAAACAGUGCUCAUUCAGCCUCGCAAAGAGAUGGCUCAAUGGAGAUUUAAUCUAUAUUCCAAUAUCUAAAAGAUAGCCACAGAGAAGAUAAUCUCUUCACCACAUGGUAACAAAGAGAAUGGACACAAGUUGCUCCAGAAGAACUUGCAUCUGCAUGUAAGAAAAAUAAUAUCAAGAGAACAACUAAACAUCAGGAAAAAGUUGCCCAGAGAAGUGGUGGAGUCUUACUCAUUGAAAAUUUACAAGAUUCAGAUUGACAGGACAUCUGAUAAUGCAUUUUAAGGCUCUCUGUCAAGAGGGGGCUUGUUCAGAUGAUCUCGGGAGAUUUCAACCUGGACUCCUCUAACAGAGCUUCUCUUUGUCAGCUGGGUCAGGAAGUCAUCAAUACGCUCCAGAAGCUCCCUUAGUUGCUUGUUCUCUGCUGUAUUGCCCUUCCAGCAGAUUUCAUGGUGGUUGAAGUCCAUAGCAGAUAUCCACAGCAGUAUCCACUCACCUUGGUCUCCCUUUAAUCCUAAUUCAUAAAGACUCAUCUGGCUAAUCAUCAGUGCUUAGGUAAAGGUUCAUGAGUUGUUGCUGCAGCUCUCUCCUCCUUGCUGGCCCAUCCUUUCUGUCCUAAAGGGCCUGUAUCACAUCAUUGCAGUGCUCCAGCAAUGUAAGCUAUAGGAAUAUAUUUCCGUGGUCCCAAUGUCAUCAUUGUUUUGUAGCUA